rnacentral:rRNA from 1 species
UACAGAGGGGGCAAGCGUUGUUCGGAAUUACUGGGCGUAAAGGGCGCGUAGGCGGCCUUCUAAGUCGAACGUGAAAUCCCUGGGCUCAACCCAGGAACUGCGUCCGAUACUGGAAGGCUUGAAUCCGGGAGAGGGAUGCGGAAUUCCAGGUGUAGCGGUGAAAUGCGUAGAUAUCUGGAGGAACACCGGUGGCGAAGGCGGCAUCCUGGACCAACACUGACACUGAUGAGCGAAAGCCAGGGGAGCAAACGGG